rnacentral:rRNA from 1 species
AGAGUUUGAUCCUGGCUCAGGAUGAACGCUGGCGGCGUGCCUAAUACAUGCAAGUCGAGCGAACGGAUAAGGAGCUUGCUCCUUUGAAGUUAGCGGCGGACGGGUGAGUAACACGUGGGUAACCUACCUAUAAGACUGGGAUAACUUCGGGAAACCGGAGCUAAUACCGGAUAACAUUUAGAACCGCAUGGUUCUAAAGUGAAAGAUGGUUUUGCUAUCACUUAUAGAUGGACCCGCGCCGUAUUAGCUAGUUGGUAAGGUAACGGCUUACCAAGGCGACGAUACGUAGCCGACCUGAGAGGGUGAUCGGCCACACUGGAACUGAGACACGGUCCAGACUCCUACGGGAGGCAGCAGUAGGGAAUCUUCCGCAAUGGGCGAAAGCCUGACGGAGCAACGCCGCGUGAGUGAUGAAGGGUUUCGGCUCGUAAAACUCUGUUAUUAGGGAGGAACAAAUGUGUAAGUAACUGUGCACAUCUUGACGGUACCUAAUCAGAAAGCCACGGCUAACUACGUGCCAGCAGCCGCGGUAAUACGUAGGUGGCAAGCGUUAUCCGGAAUUAUUGGGCGUAAAGCGCGCGUAGGCGGUUUCUUAAGUCUGAUGUGAAAGCCCACGGCUCAACCGUGGAGGGUCAUUGGAAACUGGGAAACUUGAGUGCAGAAGAGGAAAGUGGAAUUUCCAUGUGUAGCGGUGAAAUGCGCAGAGAUAUGGAGGAACACCAGUGGCG